rnacentral:rRNA from 1 species
UGGGGAAUAUUGGACAAUGGGCGCAAGCCUGAUCCAGCCAUGCCACGUGAAUGAUGAAGGCCUUAGGGUUGUAAAGUUCUUUUAACAGGAAAGAUAAUGACGGUACCUGUAGAAAAAGUUCCGGCUAACUUCGUGCCAGCAGCCGCGGUAAUACGAAGGGAACUAGCGUUGUCCGGAAUUACUGGGCGUAAAGAGCGCGUAGGCGGUUUAUUAAGUUGGGAGUGAAAUCCCGGGGCUCAACCCCGGAACUGCUUUCAAAACUGAUAGGCUAGAGUGUGAUAGGGGGUGAUGGAAUUCCUAGUGUAGAGGUGAAAUUCUUAGAUAUUAGGAGGAACAUCGGUGGCGAAGGCGAUCGCCUGGAUCACAACUGACGCUGAGGCGCGAAAGCGUGGGGAGCAAA